rnacentral:misc_RNA from 1 species
AUAAAUUAACCCAAGCCUAAGAAAAGGAUCUGAACCCUAAGAAAUCUUUAGGCCAAAAUGAGUAUCCGAGAACCCAAUCUUAGCUGCCACCAACCUUUAUGCUUUCUUGCUUUCUUCUCUAACAAGCUCUUUAUUGGCUUUUCAACUAUUCAGGGGAGAAAACUUCAACCUGCUCAACACUUGCAAACCCCAUAAGAACCAAGGAUAUGCAGCAACGCCAGAAGAAACAACGGGAAUUAGGGCCAUGCCGGAUAAAUUGGGAAGAGUUUGUCAAGGGUGACUAGAAAUGGUGUCAGCCUCCGACUGCCAACUAACUCUCGCUUAAAAGAGCUGCACAACAG